CCUACGUGAGGCAGCAGUGAGGAAUAUUGGUCCAUGGACGGAAGUCUGCCCCAUCCAUGCCGCGUGCAGGACGACGGCUCUAUGAGUUGUAAACUGCUUUUGUACAAGGGUAAACCUGAAUACGUGUAUUCAGCUGAAAGUACUGUACGAAUAAGGAUCGGCUCACUCCGUGCCAGCAGCCGUGGUAAUACGGAGGAUCCAAGCGUUCUCCGGAUUUAUUGGGUUUAAAGGGUGCGUAGGCGGAUUGAUAAGUUAGAGGUGAAAUGUCCGAGCUUAACUCGGGAACUGCCUCUAAUACUGUUGAUCUAGAGAGUAGAUGCGGUAGGCGGAAUGUAUGGUGUAGCGGUGAAAUGCUUAGAGAUCAUACAGAACACCGAUUGCGAAGGCAGCUUACCAAUCUAUAUCUGACGUUGAGGCACGAAAGCGUGGGGAGCAAACAGGAUUAGAUACCCUGGUAGUC
rnacentral:rRNA from 1 species